UAGCUAGGCGUGGUGAAAAAAAAAAGAGAUUAGGCAUGAUACUUGGGUUGAUAUCGACUCGAGUCCACAAGACAUUUAAUAGUAGACUUGGGAACAAGGGCCACAAAGUCUUUCAAGAGAUAGUGGCCACAUACAAAAAAAAAAGAAGCUUGUUUGGGGCAAUAACGUGAUUGAUAUGGAGAAGGAAGGUGGGAGCUUCGGGUGGUUAAGAGCCUCAUUUGAAGGUGAAACUAUAACUACUUGUUAGGGAAUUAUCUGAUUGAUUCAUGUAUGUAUUAUAAGAAACAUAUGUAUAAUUGUUUUGUUGUAAGAAACAGUUUCUAUAUAGUCAAUUUGAUUAAAUUGUAUUAGGAGGAAUGAUUAUUUCAUAUUAAAUUGUAAGAAACUAAACAGUUUCUA